CGAAUGUCAAUAAUCCAAUGAUGGCAACGUAACCUUUAAAUUUUUGUUAAAAAUUGAGAGAUUCUGCAUUCUUUUUUGGCUUUUGGGAAUAAUUUUUACAUUGUUUAGAAUUUUGCUCAUGUAUUAUGGGUAAAAAGAAACAGUACGGCAGCCAAACAAGGCUCGUGCAAAAAGGGAGACUGAACAAUAAGAAAAUAAGAAGACUUAAUUCAGCUUGAAUUAAUUUGCGAAAUCACCAGAGCGUGCCGAAAGGAAGAACCGAAAAAGACCUUCCAUGAAAAUUCACUAUUGAUGGGACUUCUACAAAAUAUUUAAAAAGUAUGAAGCCCUGAGACCAAAAACGCAGCUUCACAUGAUGGUAAAUGUGCACAAGAAGUUAUUGCGAUUAAUAAUUUCGGCGCCAUGUCAAAAACGAUCGCAGAGCAUUCGAGGUUAGAGUAUUCUGAAAAUCUACGGGUUACACUUUUCGUUGUACUUGAGAAAUAAUGUUGGCUGACGCAAGAACUGAUCUCCUCAAUUAUAAACGAUACAGGGGAUGGAAAUCUGAUAACUUUGCUAUUUGGCACGCUGAAGACUCUGUCGGCAGUAAAAAAAUCUGCACGAAGAAAUGCAGCUCCAUAAAUUUAAAUCGAUGAAGUACGAUUAAUUCUAAGUGCGAACCAAAUGCUUUAAAAAAGAUGACUGUGGAUCCAGCACAUUUUGGUGCCUCUGCAUCAGAAAAAUCAUACGGGUGAUUCUCAAACAUUCGGCCAUUUUGUAUCCAAGCUCUGCAGUAAAUGCUGAUGAAGAGAUGGAAAAUGCUGGAAAUACUCAUAGUAGGAGCUAAACAUGAAGAACAAUAUCCCUCAUUACAAAAAAUUUCAAAAGUGUCCUUCGUUUUCAUAUCCUGUCAUUACCACGCGAAUGUAAUUGUUUUUUAUGUGAGAAAAAAACAUUCUUAAUUGUAUGUCCGGUCGAUCCCACCGGAAACUCCUUAAUUACUUGACAAAUAUAAAAAAAUUAGU